rnacentral:lncRNA from 1 species
AGUCUUGAUAAAUAUUACAUCCAACUAUUAGGGUAAGUUUUUUUUUUUCAGUUAAUGCAUGUUAUAUUUUUCAUAUAAAUUUUUUUAUGUAUUUGAUUAUCGAUUUUUUUUUCAAAUUUUUCAUUCUUCUUCUGCGAUUUGUUCUGUUAGGGUUUGGUUUUGUGUGUGUGUGUGAGUUUUGAAAUCUUUGGAGUUCCAAUAUAAUGGCACAACAUGCA